CACGAAUUGCAGACGCUUAGAGUGGUGAAAUUUUGAACGCAUAGCGCCGUUGGGUUUUCCCUUCGGCACGUCUGGUUCAGGGUUGUUAAUGAAUUUCUACUACAGUGUGGCUAACUCUAACACUGUUUGUCGAAUGGUCAUUGUCAAAUAUUGUGAUAAUUCCCAUUUUAGUUUAAGAAUAAUACAUGCAACAUGAUGUUAAUGUUGAACGACAUUAAUAUCCCUGUAUGAUGUGAACGUGUUGUCACUGUUUGAAUGUACUCAGUGAAUUUGAGAUUGAUUUAAACAGGGACAUGUAUGACAAUAAUGUUCAAUUAUCAUUUGUAUUGCAACCUGAACUCAGGCGUGAUUACCCGCUGAACUUAAGCAUAUCAUUUAGC
rnacentral:rRNA from 1 species